rnacentral:rRNA from 1 species
UACAGAGGGUGCAAGCGUUAAUCGGAAUUACUGGGCGUAAAGCGCGCGUAGGUGGUUUGUUAAGUUGGAUGUGAAAUCCCCGGGCUCAACCUGGGAAUUGCAUCCAAAACUGGCAAGCUAGAGUAUGGUAGAGGGUGGUGGAAUUUCCUGUGUAGCGGUGAAAUGCGUAGAUAUAGGAAGGAACACCAGUGGCGAAGGCGACCACCUGGACUGAUACUGACACUGAGGUGCGAAAGCGUGGGGAGCAAACAGG